CUUGGUCAUUUAGAGGAAGUAAAAGUCGUAACAAGGUUUCCGUAGGUGAACCUGCGGAAGGAUCAUUAUCGAAUCUCGAGGAGGGGGACUGUCGCUGGCUUGUCCUUAAUCCCAAGGACGGAGCAUGUGCACGUCUCUCUUUNUNNNNNNNCCUGUGCACCCAUCGUAGGCCCUCGAAAGAGGGUNUANGNCUUCUUGUCAUCACACCGAUCGCAUGUCCAUAGAAUGUCAUUACGAUCGUCUUACUGACCCCUCGGGUCGGGGGGGCGCUCGAUACAAUAAAUACAACUUUCAGCAACGGAUCUCUUGGCUCUCGCAUCGAUGAAGAACGCAGCGAAUUGCGAUAAGUAAUGUGAAUUGCAGAUUUUCAGUGAAUCAUCGAAUCUUUGAACGCACCUUGCGCUCCUUGGUAUUCCGAGGAGCAUGCCUGUUUGAGUGUCAUCGAAUUCUCAAUCAUGCCUUGAUCGAUCUCAAGGGCAUGGCUUGGAGGUUGGGGGUUGCUGGCUUCGAAAGACGUCAGCUCUCCUGAAAUGCAUUAGCAAACGUGUCAGCAAGUGGUUGACGUGCACGGCCUUUCGACGUGAUAAUGAUCGUCGUGGCUUGGAGCGUCAGACAUGCAAAGGAGGCUUGUUUGCUUCUAAUCGUGGGUGGACCCAUGGUUCGCUUAGCUACUAGUCGGUCGUGAGGCUGGCGAACGCAGCAGAUCUAGGUUUGUCCGUGAUCCUUCGACAGCUGACCUCAAAUCAGGUAGGACUACCCGCUGAACUUAAGCAUAUCAAUAAGCGGAGGAAAAGAAACUAACAAGGAUUCCCCUAGUAACUGCGAGUGAAGCGGGAAAAGCUCAAAUUUUGAAUCUGGCGGUCUUUGGCCGUCCGAGUUGUAAUCUAGAGAAGCGUCUUCCGUGCUGGCCCGUGUACAAGUCUCCUGGAAGGGAGCGUCAUAGAGGGUGAGAAUCCCGUCUUUGACAUGGACGCCAGUGCUAUGUGAUGCGCUCUCGACGAGUCGAGUUGUUUGGGAAUGCAGCUCAAAAUGGGUGGUAAAUUCCAUCUAAAGCUAAAUACAGGCGAGAGACCGAUAGCGAACAAGUACCGUGAGGGAAAGAUGAAAAGAACUUUGAAAAGAGAGUUAAACAGUACGUGAAAUUGCUGAAAGGGAAACGCUUGAUGUCAGUCGCGUCGGCCGGGGAUCAACCUUGCUUUUCGCUGGGUGUACUUCCCGCUCGACGGGUCAGCAUCAGUUUCGGUUGCCGUACAAGGGCAAAGGGAAUGUGGCACUCUUCGGAGUGUGUUAUAGUCCUUCGUCGUAUGCGGCGCUCGGGACUGAGGAACUCAGCACGGCUUUCGUCUGUGCUUAGGAUGCUGGCAUAAUGGCCUUAAGCGACCCGUCUUGAAACACGGACCAAGGAGUCUAACUUGCCUGCGAGUGUUUGGGUGGCAAACUCGAGCGCGAAAUGAAAGUGAAAGUCGAGACCUCUGUCGUGGAGGGCACCGACGCCCGGACCUGAGUCUUCGACGACGGAUCUGCGGUAGAGCAUGCAUGUUGGGACCCGAAAGAUGGUGAACUAUGCCUGAAUAGGGUGAAGCCAGAGGAAACUCUGGUGGAGGCUCGUAGCGAUUCUGACGUGCAAAUCGAUCGUCGAAUUUGGGUAUAGGG
rnacentral:rRNA from 1 species